rnacentral:tRNA from 2 species
UAGGAAAUAGUGUAGUGGAAGCACGGGGAGUUUUGAUCUCCUUAGCAUGGGUUCAAAUCCCCUUUUCCUAA